rnacentral:rRNA from 1 species
ACUCGUAGACUCCUACGGGAGGCAGCAGUGGGGGAAUAUUGCACAAUGGGCGGAAGCCUGAUGCAGCAACGCCGCGUGCGGGAUGACGGCCUUCGGGUUGUAAACCGCUUUCGCCUGUGACGAAGCGUGAGUGCGGUAACUGGGUAAAGAGCACCGGCUAACUACGUGCCAGCAGCCGCGGUGAUACGUAGGGUGCGAGCGUUGUCCGGAUUUAUUGGGCGUAAAGGGCUCGUAGGUGGUUGAUCGCGUCGGAAGUGUAAUCUUGGGGCUUAACCCUGAGCGUGCUUUCGAUACGGGUUGACUUGAGGAAGGUAGGGGAGAAUGGAAUUCCUGGUGGAGCGGUGGAAUGCGCAGAUAUCAGGAGGAACACCAGUGGCGAAGGCGGUUCUCUGGGCCUUUCCUGACGCUGAGGAGCGAAAGCGUGGGGAGCGAACAGGCUUAGAUACCCUGGUAG